AUAAGUUGUGCAUUAAAACUCUAAUGAGAAAACUGGUGUCACAUUGUGCAAAAUCCUCUACCUGGGCAUUUUUGUUCAUGAUAAAGUGGUAAGGAGUCUGGCAAGCUGGGAGUGGUCUUGUUUGAGUCUAAAGAAUCAAGAAAUUAUUAUUUUGGUGAUGGAUGUGGUGAUGGUGUGGUGUUUGUGAUGGUGUAUGUAGAAGAUUGCAUGAGUUUGGAUGAAGCAGACCACCAUGGGAGGGGACUGUGUGGCCAGGCAGGGUAGAUUGGUGGUGGCUGGUCUCUUCCAGAAGUGAGGGUUGGUGUCCUCUACCAUACCACAUGCCAUCUUUGUGUACUUUCCCUGCCUUCUCUCAAACCAUUUUCAAACUUUAGUCUUCAAGUGGUGACAGGAUGCAGUGUUGAUUUGCGUCCAAGAGGAGGCGGAGUUUCCAUGGCUGAUUUGCACUGGUUCACCCAAACUGUGGAGUGCAACAAACUUGCAGCCACAAGACUACAAAGAUUCCAGAGAGAACAAGAUUGGUUGACAAGACUACAGUAACUUCUUCAUUUCCAUCCAUUGCAUCAAUUUUGUGUCAUGUCACUUUGUUGCCUGGCAUCCCAAAGUUCCUAAAUCAUAUAUUGCUUGUUAAAAAUAACUUAUUUAAAGCGUUAUUCAUUAUUAUUGUAAUAGAUUAGAUAGAUAGAUUGAUUUAAUGAGCCUAAUAGGUGUAGGGCUUCUUGUAAGUCCGUAGUCCAGUGGCCUUUGUACUGUUCCCCAAUAGUAUAAAGGGUACUUGACCUUGGUGGAAGGGGCCCUUCCUAUUACCACAAUGAAAUAUGUUUAGCCUUUUUAGGAUACUGGUUGAGACUAGUAUCAACAAUACCACUCUCAUCCCAUCCUCCUCACACAUCAACCCUCAAGAAGAAGUUGGUGGAUAUACACCACAGUGUAGAGGAGGUAGAGUACACUACCAUAUUAUAUAUACUUUAGGGAGUAGAUGGAGAUAGUAAGUUGGUUGGGAGUAGUAGUAUAGAGUAGAUGGACAAGGGGGGGUGAGGACAGUAGUAGUAUUUGGUGGGGGAUUAGUAGUAGUAGAUGGAUAAUAUAAUUAGGUGGGGUAAUGUGGCAGGUUGGGUGUUAGUUAUAUUUGGUAUAUAUAGAUAGUAUUAUUCUAGAAUGUGUGGGGGGCGGUUAGUUGGGGUAAUUAAAUACAGGGUUACUUACCCCCUAUACGUUGUUGGGGUUUUGAGUGAAGGUGGUGUAACUUUGGGCAUUUUAUUAUAUAUAUAUAUAUACUUUGAGAUGUUCACUCCUAUCCCGGUUCCCGUAAAGACAUACCGAGUUUGUUGUGUGGAGGCUUGCAACAAAUGUGAAGGCAACUUUAAUUGCUUCAAAUAAUAAAAACCCC